CUACUCCAAUCUCAUAUGUGGCAAAGAAAUCAUAACAUAGAUCUGAUGUGAAAGACCGACAAAUAAAAUGUGUUCUUCAUGUUCGUCAUGCCUGCAUGGGUGAAUCUUUUUGGCUUCUGUUGUUCUACUUCUAUCUGUAGUUCUUACAUGCUAAAUGUUUGUAGGACAUUUUGUACUAUUUUCUAGGCCAUUUUGUUCCUCCUUUUUCUCGCCCCAUUCUGCAUUUUGACUACAAUGUGAAAUGACUACUGUUCACCUUAAAUUCACAUAUAAUUUCAUUUUAGAAUAACUAGCUUUUAGUAUCUGGAUAUAAUCUUACUACCAAAAGUUUUCCCAUUGGUUAACAUAGACUUCAUUUCUCGGUUUCACCAACCAGGUAUAGGAAAAAGGGCAGUUCUUUUUAUUGGUUUUGGCAAUAAAGCUGUUGUGGUGACCAUAGUUGACAUUUAACUUAAUCGAUAGUGUUUUCCAACUAGUUCAUGUCAUUUUUUCCCUCCACUUUCAAGAUUGAGGAAGUUAAUUUUGGUCAUUUUGUCAAAGUUGGAUCAAGGAGCCGACCAAGUUCUUCUUUUUCUGGCUCAGUGUAUCACUUGUUGAGGCUUUCAAUAUGUUUAUCUGUCAUGAAAACCAGUAUCCGGCUUGGCCUGGGAAUGCUACCAGCUGAUCCUUCCACACUUUAGUUAGUGCUUGACUAAGAUGGAGAAAAAACACUUAUAGAGUUAAAUUUCCCUUUCUUAUACUGGAAUUAGUUGAAGGAUCAAAAGAUUGACUUUUUAUGUUAAUUCACGACUGUUGUCACCAAUGAAUGGCUUUGACUAGGGCUAUUGGCCUUGACCAUUUUGAUGUGUCUGAUCGAUGUGGAAUUACCACAGGAUAUUGAUGACCAUGCUGCAAUAUGUCGGUCAGAUGGGACGCAUCUGUGUGCUCUUAUCAAAGGUUCUUUCUGAAGGAGCGGAUAGGAGGCCAACCAACAACAGGAGCAGGCGCAGCUCUGCAUUUUUGUUGAGGAGUAGGAAAUAUCAAGUAAGAAGUGUUAAAACAAAUUACAGAAAGGUAAGAUAGAGGAAAAUGCAAUUGAAUCACGAUGUCCAAGACCAGUCGGUUUCCAUUUCUUUAGCAAGGAGAUCAACAGUAAGACUGCUCUUCCACAACCUACGAUGCUUAUAUUUGGAGUCAGUAUAAAUAAUGUUUUUGCUUGUAAAGGUAAAUUUACUGCAUGUCUUGAUCUUUGUUAGACUUGCAUCCUUUUAUUUAAAUAGCCAUACUUUAUUUAUGAAGAUUUUGAUAAAUGCUAUCAUCUUAUAGAUCUAACUUCAGAUUUAUGCUGGUGAAGAUGAUACUGAAUUCAGUAUUUUUAGAGAGGUUGGACAAAAUAAACAUAGCAAGAACCUUAAAAUUUUGUGAAUGAAAGAGUAAAUUGUAACAGCACAAAAAGAAGAGAAAACUAAAUCUCUUUUGAACUGUAAGUCGGUGGUGUGAAGUACUUAAGCAGCAGCAGGCAGCAGCAGCAGCAGCAGCAAACUUGUAUUAAUUAGGAAGUGUAAAACUAUACCUAGCAGCCAUGGAAAAAUUAGAACCCAAAAUAUAAGGGAAAAAAAGAUAGAUAUGCUGCAUGAAAUACUUAAUUUUGCAACUGGGAACACUGUUUAGUAAAAUUAUUAACCCCAGUUCUAUCAGACAAUAAAGACAGGCCAUCCAGCUGGGCUGGGCAUUUAAAGUCACAGUGAGCACGAUAUCGAGACAAGAGACAUCAAAUAAUGUGCAGAAAAAGUAGCAGAUACAUUGAUGACACACAAACAAAUGCAAGCCCGAAUGAGAUCAUGGCACAUGCCAAUCAUGGUUACCUUGUCUGGGAGCUGGUGUUGGGUCCAGCUGCACCUCCGGGAGCAGCAUGGCUUUGCUGCAGAUCAGCCUUCCCACCAGCCCAAACUGCCUUGUGUGGCCAUUCAUUCCCAGACUCUGCUCUGCUCUGCAACUGGAGGAACCCAGCCUGCUGCUCUUGCUGAGGACCUGAAAAGGGAAGAAUAUGGUGUAGGAGUAGAUAAAUCCCAGGAAGACAUGCAUGACCUUUGGCGCUUGAAAAAAUAUAGUACCUUCUGAUUUGGACUCUGCAGAUUCGAAGAGCCGUCUUCUGGCUCCAGUACAGGUGGUGGUGGUGGUGGUCUUUGAAGCCUUGGAGAAGAAAUCAAGACAGAGAACAGCAGCAGCCGCUUCUUCUCCUCCUCCUACUCCAGGGAGCCCAAGCUUCAGCUCCAACUUUUUGUCUUCCGAGUCAUCUAAGCCGCCGACUCCUCUUCCUCCUCCUGAUGCCUCUGGCGCCAUCAUCCAGUCGCUCUCAUUUGGAAUCAGAUCGAGCAGCUGAGGACAUGCACCUCCUCUGUUCUCGAGAUCUUCUUCCAUGGCAAGUUCAAAAGUCGAGGAUGAACGACCAGCAGCUUCCUGUUUCAACGCUCAAGUUGGGAGAAAGCGUCAAAGAUGAAAUUUUUUUUUAUGGACAAAAGCAGUCGCCUCUUCGGAAACAUUAUCACCUACAACCAUGCUAGCCAAAAUGAAAGACUAGAAGAAGAAGAAGAAGAAGAAGAAGAAGAUCAGCCGUAUCAGCAUAGUUGAUCAAGAAGAGGGGAAGGAGACGACACACGGCUAACCCACCUGCACUCGAGUUCCGGGACGAGAAGUAGGAUCAGAGGAAGGCGGAGGAAGGAAAGCUCUGCUCGCUCCAGCCACUGAGGAAGCCAAAUCCUCAAAACCAAAUCUUGGAGGGAGAAUUAGGCCAAAAACCACUCAGUAAAUAAUGAAAAAGGCUUCUUUUUUCACCUACACUCCUCUUCUCAUCCAUCCUUUUUCUCUGUCUUGUAGGAGAAGUGGUGCUUAAAAAGGGUACAGCGGCAGGGAUUCCAUGGCUGGGAAAGGAGCCCGAAAAAGGGACAGUGGGAUCGAGGCAUUCCCAUCCCAUCUCUACUCCUGCACGCUAACCCAAGCAGGUGGAACAGGGACGUGACACUCUCUCUCUACAGUCAUAUUCGUAUUGUUCCCUCCCUAAGAAAAAUUGCAGAAAAGAACAAAAGCUAUACACUGUAGCAGCCAUGAGCCAUACACAGUAUCGGAUACUCGGAAUUCUUAAUACACUGGUCAAUCAGAAUUCGGCUGGUUGCUUACGCCUAACAAAGUGGGAGGGGGUAAUGAUUGGAUCAGUGGUCCUUUUAACUCUUCUUCUUCCUCUCUUUGUGGCCAACUUAAACUUGGUAUUGUGAUUAUUUCUUUCAAGAUUUUUUGUUGGGUGCUCUUCUCUAACAUCUUUUAUGGAUUAAUCGAUCAGGUUCUUCCUAGAAUUCCAUCCGUCCAUUUGUUCAUGUCAAUCCUUUUCCAUCUCCAUAAUGAAAGUAUCCUCUCUUUUUUUUUUUCUUUUUUUUUUUCGUAAUUUUCUUUUCAUUAUAAAAAAAAUAUUACCAACAUUAUUAUCUAGUCAUUCAACAGUCUUUCCUACUUAGAAGCUUAGGUUUUUAACUCAUAAUCGAAAAUUAUACUUAAUCAAUCAUACAUUAGAUGAGAUGAGAUUCAAUUUGGUGGUGACUUUAUACAUACAUACUUUUAAUGUGCUUCUAGCUUUGUUCAUCCAUGAUAACUUUUCCUGUUUAAUAUUGAAUCAGUUCUGAUUACCAAUUAAUCAUGUUCUGAUCCAAUGACAAAAACAUUUAUUUAUUUCAUGGAUCUAAACUAUUGGCAUUAAUACGACUUUUAUCUUAUACUACACGUAAUCAUAUCCAUCCAUGCUCUCAAAUAAUAUAAGAAAACAGUAGCAAAGAGAAAACAGAUCAUAAUUCUGAAUUUUGUGACCAUGAGGUUUUGUAGGCGGAUCAACAGUCCAUGGAAGCUGGAAAGAUGCACACAAUCAUCACCGAAUCUCUCUCUCUCUCUUUCUCUCUCUCUCUCUCUCUCUUUCUCUCUCUCUCUCUGUGUUGGUAGUACUGUGACAUUACCAAAUACAUGAAAAUAUUUUCUGAAAAUGAAUGAAGCCUGCAGAGUGAGUGAUACUAAUGUAGGCUAUGAGCUAAGCCUAAUGUCACGCAGCACAACACAAGGGAAAUGUGACAGCAGUAGUUGGGGACCUCACAAGAGGAGGAGGAGGAGAUGGCUGUGGCAGGCAUCAUGAUCACAGUUCCUGUGGAAAAAGCUGGUGGCUCGCUGGAGGGAACUGAAGAGGAGCUCCGGAAAAGCACUCGAUUCAAUGCAUCGGGAGGGCGGGCGGGCUGUAGGCGGCGGUGGGCGCCCGAGGCGGUCCACCCUCGCGUGCUUAGGCCACGGGCGUGCCUCGCAAAGUCUAUGGUCAAGGCUCACUCUCCGUGUGGUGGUCGAUCUGCUCUGGUCCCCCAACUGUUUGACAAAAUGCCUGUGUGUGCCAUAAAUUGUAACUUGUCACGAGGGGCGUUUAACCUUCAUCCGUCUCCUCCUCAGGACCAGAAGCAUCUAUAUCAUCAUCAUCAGCAGCAGCAGCAGCAGCAGCAGCAUCAGCAUCAGCAAAUUGGCACAUGAAUGAAUGAGAGGAUAACUCAGCACUUAUGCAGUGAAUUGCCUGGAGAAUUCAAAGCACGGUCACAAUUUAACUUGACGGUUCCCCUUCAAAUGCAUCCGAAGCUACUGAAGUUAUCUUGGAACAAAACUAUCUCUGCAGGAACCCCAUAGCUUGAUAGACAUUAUUGAGAGUGGUUUCUGCUAUAUCGGCUGCUUUUCUAGCCCCCUCUGACAAAAUCUGAUCCAGAUAUGCUGGAUCAGAGGUGAUCUCCGAGUACCGAGCC